AAGGAUGAUUCAUUCCAUCACCUCGGUGAUGGAACACACUUCAAACCACAGACGAGGUCCGGGGAUGCCGUUGGCGUUCCCGGCCGUGGGCACGCUGUUGGGUUCUGAGGGUGCGGGUAACCCGCCCUCAGAAGCUUGAGAACUGCAUAGCGGUGUCGCGUGUGCGCGAA
rnacentral:misc_RNA from 1 species